UAGGGAAUCUUCGGCAAUGGACGAAAGUCUGACCGAGCAACGCCGCGUGAGUGAAGAAGGUUUUCGGAUCGUAAAACUCUGUUGUUAGAGAAGAACAAGGACGUUAGUAACUGAACGUCCCCUGACGGUAUCUAACCAGAAAGCCACGGCUAACUACGUGCCAGCAGCCGCGGUAAUACGUAGGUGGCAAGCGUUGUCCGGAUUUAUUGGGCGUAAAGCGAGCGCAGGCGGUUUCUUAAGUCUGAUGUGAAAGCCCCCGGCUCAACCGGGGAGGGUCAUUGGACACUGGGAGACUGGAGUGCAGAAGAGGAGAGUGGAAUUCCAUGUGUAGCGGUGAAAUGCGUAGAUAUAUGGAGGAACACCAGUGGCGAAGGCGGCUCUCUGGUCUGUAACUGACGCUGAGGCUCGAAAGCGUGGGGAGCAAACAGG
rnacentral:rRNA from 1 species